CCUGGUUGUCUAGUUAUCGGUUCUAAUGGAGAACAGCCGUUAGAAGUAAUGGGGAAAGUAUGGUGUAAAUCCAACGCUGUCCCGCAACUGUGAUGAGGCGAGCGACCCCGCGUCGGCGUAAGACCCUAAAGGACUUCCUUCGGUCGCGCAAGGGAACGCGCGAGAUAUCUCUAAAGCCUCUUAGUCAGAAUACCCGCCGAUGAACAAAAUCAAAUU
rnacentral:ncRNA from 1 species